CCUACGGGAGGCAGCAGUGGGGAAUAUUGGGCAAUGGAGGAAACUCUGACCCAGCGACGCCGCGUGAGGGAUGAAGGCCUUCGGGUUGUAAACCUCUUUCAGUAGGGAAGAAGCGAAAGUGACGGUACCUACAGAAGAAGCACCGGCUAACUAUGUGCCAGCAGCCGCGGUAAUACAUAGGGUGCAAGCGUUGUCCGGAAUUAUUGGGCGUAAAGAGCUCGUAGGUGGUUCGAUACGUCGGAUGUGAAAAUCAGGGGCUCAACCCCUGACCUGCAUCCGAUACGGUCGAGCUAGAGUUUGGUAGGGGAGACUGGAAUUCCUGGUGUAGCGGUGGAAUGCGCAGAUAUCAGGAGGAACACCGAUGGCGAAGGCAGGUCUCUGGGCCAAUACUGACACUGAGGAGCGAAAGCGUGGGGAGCGAACAGGAUUAGAUACCCUGGUAGUCCACGCCGUAAACGGUGGGCGCUAGUUGCGCGAACCUUCCACGGUUUGUGCGACGCAGCUACGCAUAGCGCCCGCCGUCGGGUAGGUACGAUCGCGAGAAUUAAACGUUAAACGUAAGUAGUAGACGNGAGAGAGUACGACGACGACGACGACGGAGGAGG
rnacentral:rRNA from 1 species